rnacentral:rRNA from 1 species
CCGGGCACGUCUGGAAGGACUGCCAUCGACAAGAUGGAGGAAGGUGGGGAUGACGUCAAGUCAUCAUGGCCCUUAUGUCCAGGGCGACACACGUGCUACAAUGGACCGGCACAACGGGAAGCGAGUUCGCGAGGACGAGCGGAUCCCUACAAAGCCGGUCGCAGUUCGGAUUGAAGUCUGCAACUCGACUUCAUGAAGCUGGAAUCGCUAGUAAUCGUGGAUCAGCCAAGCCGCGGUGAAUUACGGUUCCCGGGCCUU